rnacentral:tRNA from 1 species
UCGAAAAUCGGGUGACGCUACGGACUUAAAUAAUUUGAGCGAAAAUCCGUUGGCUUUAUUGACCGUGAGGGUUCAAGUCCC